UUUAGGUUUAGAACUUCAGGAGAGAAAUCCCUCUGUUCUGUAGGUGGAAUUCUACUAAGUACCAGUAGGCCCUACAAGACAAAGCCCACCCACGGCAUUGGAAAGUACAAGCACUUAAUUAAAGCAGAAGAGCCCAAGAAGAAGAGGGGAAAAGUGGAAGUGAGAGACAUUAAUUUGGGGACAGAUUAUGAAUAUGGGGUUUUAAACAUUCAUCUGACUGCGUAUGACAUGACCCUGGCAGAGAGUUAUGCCCAGUAUGUUCACAACCUCUGCAACUCUCUCUCCAUUAAAGUCGAGGAAAGGUAUGAAGGUGCUUUUGUAUGGGAUGUUCUUGGUGUGGGUGGAAUGCUCUGCUUUUUUGUUAAACUAGGCUUUUGAGAUACAGUUUACAUGUAGUAAAAUUAACUCUUUUUAGUUAUAUAAUGUACUACAAUAAAAAUAUAGAUUUGUUCUAUUAACCUG
rnacentral:sRNA from 1 species